rnacentral:rRNA from 1 species
UACGUAGGCAGCGAGCGUUGUUCGGAGUUACUGGGCGUAAAGAGUGCGUAGGCGGGUUUCUAAGUUUGGUGUGAAAUCUCCCGGCUUAACUGGGAGGGUGCGCCGAAAACUGGAAGGCUUGAGUAUGGGAGAGGUAAGCGGAAUUCCUGGUGUAGCGGUGAAAUGCGUAGAUAUCAGGAGGAACACCUGCGGUGUAGACGGCUUACUGGACCAUAACUGACGCUGAGGCACGAAAGCGUGGGUAGCAAACAGG